CCUGAACGCUGGCGGCGUGGCUAAGACAUGCAAGUCGCACGGGGCCCGCAAGGGUCCAGUGGCGAACGGGUGAGUAAUGAAUCGCUAAUGUGCCCCGGACUCUGGGAUAGCCAUCCGAAAGGAUGGGUAAUACCAGAUGAUAUAACCUGCCCGCAUGGGCGGGUUCUCAAAGGUCCGCCGGUCCGGGAGCAGGCGAUUUCGUAUCAGCUAGUUGGUGCGGGUAACGGCCCACCAAGGCGACGACGCGUAGCCGGACUGAGAGGUUGGCCGGCCACAUU
rnacentral:rRNA from 1 species